GCCAGGCACAGUGGCACGUGCCUGUAGUCCCAGCUACUCGGGAGGCUGAGGUAGGAGGAUUGCUUGAGCCCAGGAGGUUGAGGCUGCAGUGAGCUGUGACUGCGCCACUGCGCUCCAGCCUGGGCGACGGAGCGAGACCCUGUCUCAA
ensembl:misc_RNA Metazoa_SRP Metazoan signal recognition particle RNA